ncrna:unclassified sequences L13-Bacteroidia ribosomal protein leader
CGAAGAUAACGCUUAGAUUCUUCGCAGCUCUUUCGUGUUAAUAGUGGUAUUCAUGGCCGGAUAUCAUGGUUAGUGAAUC